AAGGAGAAUUACCUACUGUUUAAUUUUGAGGGUUCGUUUUUACGAAUACUCAAAAUUAGCACUUUAAGCAACAGAAUAAACUGAACGCAUGUGAAGUUUGUUUGUUGGCGCUGUGUGUUAGCACUUUAAGCAACGUGAUUUAUCCGUUGGCGCUGUGCAUUAGCACUUUAAGCAACGGAAUUUAUUCGUUGGCGCUGUGCUUUAGCACUUUGAAAACUGCAUAUAUAUAUUUAGUGAUAUGACAUCUAAUUUGUAAUAUAUAAAGCUGAUAACUUUUUAAAAUUAUCGAAGUUGAUAGCUUCUAAUCUAUCAAACCUUUUUAAC
rnacentral:misc_RNA from 1 species